AGUCACUGACAUUAGAUACCCCGGUAGUCCAGGGUGUAAACGCUACAGACUUGGUGUUGGGGGCCCUUUGGGGGCAUUCAGUGCCGGAGAGAAGUUGUUAAGUCUGCUACUUGGGGAGUACGUCCGCAAGGAUGAAACUUAAAGGAAUUGGCGGGGGAGCACCGCAACGGGAGGAGCGUGCGGUUUAAUUGGAUUCAACACCGUAAACUCACCAGGGAAGACUGUUACAUGAAGGCCGAGAUGAAGACUCUGCUAGAUUUUCAG
rnacentral:rRNA from 1 species